GUGGGGAAUAUUGGACAAUGGGCGAAAGCCUGAUCCAGCCAUGCCGCGUGUGUGAAGAAGGUCUUCGGAUUGUAAAGCACUUUAAGUUGGGAGGAAGGGCAGUAAGUUAAUACCUUGCUGUUUUGACGUUACCGACAGAAUAAGCACCGGCUAACUUCGUGCCAGCAGCCGCGGUAAUACGAAGGGUGCAAGCGUUAAUCGGAAUUACUGGGCGUAAAGCGCGCGUAGGUGGUUUUGUAAGUUGGAGGUGAAAUACCCGGGCUCAACCUGGGAACUGACUCCAAAAAUGCAUGACUAGAGUACGGUAGAGGGUAGUUGAAUUUCCUGUGUAGCGGUGAAAUGCGUAGAUAUAGGAAGGAACACCAGUGGCGAAGGCGACUACCUGGACUGAUACUGACACUGAGGUGCGAAAGCGUGGGGAGCAAACAGGAUUAGAAACCCGAGUAGUCC
rnacentral:rRNA from 1 species